UGGGGAAUUUUGGACAAUGGGGGCAACCCUGAUCCAGCCAUCCCGCGUGUGCGAUGAAGGCCUUCGGGUUGUAAAGCACCUUUGGCAGGGAAGAAACAGCCUGGGCUAAUAUCCCGGGCGACUGACGGUACCUGCAGAAUAAGCACCGGCUAACUACGUGCCAGCAGCCGCGGUAAUACGUAGGGUGCAAGCGUUAAUCGGAAUUACUGGGCGUAAAGCGUGCGCAGGCGGUUCGGAAAGAAAGGUGUGAAAUCCCAGGGCUUAACCUUGGAACUGCACUUUUAACUACCGGGCUAGAGUACGUCAGAGGGGGGUAGAAUUCCACGUGUAGCAGUGAAAUGCGUAGAGAUGUGGAGGAAUACCGAUGGCGAAGGCAGCCCCCUGGGAUGAUACUGACGCUCAUGCACGAAAGCGUGGGGAGCAAACA
rnacentral:rRNA from 1 species